GGGAAGCACUAUACCAUAAAACUUGAGUUAUGAGUAUAGAUGAGUUAUAUAAGGCAAAUUAUGAUCAAUUAAUUGAUAAGAUAUCUGCUGAUCUUAAGAGAUGGGCUGUUCUUCCCCUUACACUCUCAGGUAGAAUAGAGAGUAUUAAGAGAUAGGCUGUUCUUCCCCUUACACUCUCAGGUAGAAUAGAGAGUAUUAAGAGAUGGGCUGUUCUUCCACUUACACUCUCAGGUAGAAUAGAGAGUAUUAAGAGAUAGGCUGUUCUUCCCCUUACACUCUCAGGUAGAAUAGAGAGUAUUAAGAGAUGGGCUGUUCUUCCACUUACACUCUCAGGUAGAAUAGAGAGUAUUAAGAGAUGGGCUGUUCUUCCACUUCCUCUCAGGUAUAGAGAGUAUUAAGAGAUAGGCUGCUCUUCCACUUCCUCUCUCAGGUAGAAUAGAGAGUAUUAAGAUCAAUGUGCUGCUAAGGCUACUAUUUUCUUUUUUCAAACUCUGCCCCUCACACCACCAAAAAAUAUGUUAACAAUUUAGAUCGCCCAGGUUUAUUCGGCAGGCAAGGCGUCCCCAUGUAAGGUACUACAGCUCAACAACAGGGAGGGCAGGGACUCCCUCACCUUAAGCAGUAUGGGUUGGCUUGUCGACUGGGCGUUGACCACCUGGAUUUCAGACAGGGUGGAGACAAGGUGGCUGGAGAUCGAGUCUGUUUGUACUGUAAUGUCCUCAUUAAAUGCUCCAUUCACUGAUGAUAAGGCCCUGGAACAGACCUUGGGUAGGUGGUCAUAAACUACUCUUACAGCAUCAAGAGAAGUUCAGUGGACUUUUGGUCUUCUUAGUGAUGUAUCUAAAACAGAAAUGAAAAACAUUUGAAGAGAGUUUUCUUUAGAUAUCAUCAGAUACAAAGUUUUCUACUCAAACAGCCUUAAAUAAUCAUAUACCCCUAUUAAAGAAGGAUUCAAGACAGGAGACACACAAAGAGACCAAUAUCCAGUCUGUAUAGAGCAUUAUUGAAUAUAUAACAAGAGAACCCACCAUAUCGAACAGACACAAACCAUAUUGAACAAAAAUAGGAAAGGGAGCUUAAAUUAGAAAUUAGUGAGGAGAUUUGUGCAAAUAUCACAGAAAUUCAUAAAUACAAACCUACAGAAAGAGCUCUAGUGGAAAAUAGUUAACAAAUUAUUUUGAACCCCUCACAUUCUUUCCAAAGCACACCCCAGUCAAAUAAGUACACGUUGGAGGAGAGGUGGAGAGGACUCUGCAGACCAUACUCUAUGUUUUGGAAGUGCCCUCU
ensembl:lncRNA